AGCGAACGCUGGCGGCAGGCUUAACACAUGCAAGUCGAGCGCCGUAGCAAUACGGAGCGGCAGACGGGUGAGUAACACGUGGGAACGUACCUUUUGGUUCGGAACAACACAGGGAAACUUGUGCUAAUACCGGAUAAGCCCUUACGGGGAAAGAUUUAUCGCCGAAAGAUCGGCCCGCGUCUGAUUAGCUAGUUGGUGAGGUAACGGCUCACCAAGGCGACGAUCAGUAGCUGGUCUGAGAGGAUGAUCAGCCACACUGGGACUGAGACACGGCCCAGACUCCUACGGGAGGCAGCAGUGGGGAAUAUUGGACAAUGGGCGCAAGCCUGAUCCAGCCAUGCCGCGUGAGUGAUGAAGGCCCUAGGGUUGUAAAGCUCUUUUGUGCGGGAAGAUAAUGACUGUACCGCAAGAAUAAGCCCCGGCUAACUUCGUGCCAGCAGCCGCGGUAA
rnacentral:rRNA from 1 species